UACGUAGGGGGCAAGCGUUGUCCGGAUUCAUUGGGCGUAAAGAGCGUGUAGGCGGCCAGGUAGGUCGGUUGUGAAAACUGGAGGCUCAACCUUCAGAGGUCGACCGAAACCAUCUGGCUAGAGUCCGGGAGAGGAGAGUGGAAUUCCUGGUGUAGCGGUGAAAUGCGCAGAUAUCAGGAAGAACACCCGUGGCGAAAGCGGCUCUCUGGACAGUUACUGACACUGAGGCACGAAGGCCAGGGGAGCAAACGGG
rnacentral:rRNA from 1 species